ACUAGCUCUUGCACGUGUCAAGAGCAUGCCAGUGAAGCCUGACUCUGCUAUAUGGGGUUCCUUAUUGAGUUCUUGUCGAACUCAUCGCAAUCUUGAAAUUGCAGUCAUUGCAAUGGAACAUCUAUUAGAGCUUGAACCUGAAGAUACAGGGAACUACAUUCUGCUAGCUAAUAUUUAUGCAGAUCUUGGAAAGUGGGAUGGGCUUGAACCUGAAGAUACUGGGAACUACAUUCUGCUCGCUAAUAUUUAUGCAGAUCUUGGAAAGUGGGAUGGUGUAUCAAGGAUGAGGAAACUCAUAAUAAGUAAAAGCAUGAAAAAAAACACCAGGCUGCAGUCUAAUUGAGGU
rnacentral:lncRNA from 1 species